UACGGAGGAUGCAAGCGUUAUCCGGAAUCAUUGGGCGUAAAGAGUCCGUAGGUGGCGAUUCAAGUCUGUCGUUAAAGACUAGAGCUUAACUCUGGAAUGGCGGUGGAAACUGAAAAGCUAGAGUGCGGGAGGGGUAAAGGGAAUUCCCAGUGUAGCGGUGAAAUGCGUAGAGAUUGGGAAGAACACCUGUGGCGAAGGCGCUUUACUGGACCGACACUGACACUGAGGGACGAAAGCUAAGGGAGCGAAAGGG
rnacentral:rRNA from 1 species